UGUAUAUACACUGAACUCAUUCGAUAGAGUGAUCAAUAAGCAAUUAGUUGUCAACUUGUCGAUUACAUUUUAACUAAAACAUAUUGAAACGAUCUUUUUAAUUUGAGUUAAAUUAAAUCAUGUUGCAUCGAAAUAUUUUCGCUCUACUUUUUCUCGGAAUCGUAUUUUGUGGGAUUCAAUUCUCUGAAGUGAAUGCAAGUAACAAUGGUAAAGGUAUCAUAGGUGGUAUGGGCUGUAUUUCUGGCUCAAAAACAGCCGAUGAUCUGUGGGAGGAGUAUCAACGAUUGUUGCAACUAGGUAAGGCGGAGAAAGCGCAGAAGAUGUUAGACAAGUAUAACGAGAAGUAUGAACAGGAACAACGUGAAGCACUACAAAGAUUUAAUAGAGAAGAAGAAAGGCGUAGGAGAGAAGAAGAAAGGGUUCAAAAGAAAGCUGAAGAAAAUAAACACAAGAAAAUUCGUCCUUUAUUCUUUCAAGAAUAAAUGUUCUCCUCGUUACUUGGACAAUCUUAUUGUUGAUUAAAUUGAUUGUCAAUAUGAAAAAAAUGUCAAAACGCAAUGAAAUUGAAUAAAUAAGAUUUCACAAAGAAUAACUAA